UACAGAGGUGCCAGGCGUUAGGCGGAAUCACUGGGCUUAAAGCGCGUGUAGGCGGGUCGUUAAGUGUCCGAGUGAAAUCCCACGGCUCAACCGUGGAACUGCCGGGCAUACUGGCGAUCUUGAGGCAUUCAGGGGCGAGCGGAACAAAUGGUGGAGCGGUGAAAUGCGUAGAUAUCAUUUGGAACGCCAAUGGUGAAAACAGCUCGCUGGGAAUGAUCUGACGCUGAGACGCGAAAGCCAGGGGAGCGAACGGG
rnacentral:rRNA from 1 species